GAUUGGAUAACUGAUUUAAAAAAAUAUCAACUCAUCUUGGAGACUUAUCUUAAUAUUUUUUUAUUAUAUAGUAGUGAUUCUAUUUUUGUUUAUUCGUUUGUUUUUUAGUGCCAUACCCUGGGCAUAUGGGUAUUCCCAGACUAGGGGUGGAAUUGGAGCUGCAGCUGCCUGCCUACACCACAGCCACAGCUAUGCCAGAUCCAAGUCAUGUCUGAGCUAUACCACAGCUCAUGGCAAAGCUGGCUCCUUAACCCAAUGAGGAAGGCCAGGGAUCGAGCCCUCAUCGUCAUGGAUACUAGUUGGUUUUGUAACCCACUGAGACACAAUGGUAACUCUUCUAUUUUUUAUUCUAUAUGGAAGGACACCAUACAUUUUUUUAGUGUUAGGUUCUAUAAAGAAUAUAUCUCCCGCCUGGCAAGAGCUAACGGCUGCUGUUUUGAGCUGCAGCAAGUUGCUGGUAUGAGAAGAAGCUAAUGCUGUAUGAAAGAAAGAGUUAAGUUGAGAAUGCAAAGGUGACAGUAAGGAUCUGUUCAACAGUGAUGGAUGGUUAAUAAUUAACUCAUUUUUACAUUAUUAGUGUCCUUACUAUUUAUUAAAUGUCAAACUCUACAGUGAGAAGAUAAUUUCAAACUUCUAGCAUUUCCAUCAUUAACUAUCAUUUUUUUUUUUUCUGUAGAAUCUAAUACAUCCUCAAUUGUAAGACUACAGUUUUAGGUGAAGUUAAAAUAAAACAAAACUUACAAUUAAUCUAUAAACACCACAAAUGCUAAAAAAAAAUACUCUGACUUCCGAGAUGUUAAAAUAUUAAAAUAAGCAUGACUUGGAAUCAAGGAAACAUAGUAAUUAAAUUAUAUGUCCAACUCAAAGUAUCAAUGAACCUACUCUGUGCCAGGUACUGGGAGAGGCACUCUAGUCGUAUCACACGGAACUAAUACCAGACAAUCUCUGCCCCCAAGCUGUCAACAGUUUAGCAAAUUCAAUAAGUAAUAACAAUAAAAUUUGGAGAGUACUUGGAUAUGGGAAGUAGAGUUUGAUGUUUGAGCUGUGACCCAAAUGAUAAAUAGAUGCUAGUCAGAUAGUAUGUAGUUGGAGCCAGGAAGGGGGUUCUAGCUAAGAGGAUUAAACCAGAGCAAACUGAAAAGAAGAUGGUGCUAAGAAAAUUCAGUAUGGCUAAAACAUAUGUUUGGCCCAUAAAGUUUAAGUGUCAGGAAUGUGGUUAAAGAGACAAGUUCCUGAAGGAGUGAUAAGGAAAGAGUAUUGGAAAAUCACAUUUAGAUCUGUAAUAGCUAGCAUUUAAUACAAUCAGGAUCCUAGUCACUGUGCAUGUACCUUCUCCUUGAGAUACUUUUUUCCCUUUGGGUUGAAUGGAAUUAAAUGUUUGUGGUCAGGGAAAUAUUUACAUGGAGGAUUAACCUGUAAUUAACACAACUUUUUUUUUGGAAGUUCCAAGGCCGGGGAUCAAACCUGCACCACAGCAGUGGCAUGAGCCACUUCAGUGACAAAGUGACAAUGCUGAAUCCUUAACCUGCCAUACCACAAGGGAACUCGAUUAACAGAAGUUUUUGACUUGAGACUUAUGGGUGUGCAGGUGGCGUACAUCUUGACACAUGCAGGGAAAUUUCAGCUUUGUACCUGGAAAGCUAGAGGCAGGAUGUCAUCUGAAAACUAUUCUUUCAUUGGAGUAUUCCAAUAGAAAAUAUUUUAAAAUUUACGUUCAUACAAUAUAGAAUACUAAGUAGUGGAAAGUAGCUCAAAUAAUGCUACAUGUAUCAACAUAAAUAUACCCCAUAUAUAUCAUGCUUAGAGAAAAAUCUGUGGGUAAAAUUAUAUGUAAAGUAUGAUUCUACUUUUACUGAGAGUAAAACCAUGCACAACAAAUUAUUUAUGACUCGAUAUAAACAUGGUAAAAUUAUCAUGGAAAAUCAAGGGUUUGAUAUUCUGUUUUUAAUGACUGUAUGUUAAUAUAUAUGUUAAGUUUUCUAUUAACAAAUAAGGUCAUACUAGAAUAAUAAUAGUAUUCUAUCCCAUUAUACUAUCUCUUUCUAAUAUCUAAUGCCCUCAGUGCACAGUACCUUACAAAUUCUUCUCGCCAUUACAAUUAUUUUCUAGUAAUUAUCACAUCCUUGCAUAUCUAAGUGUCAGACUCUAUGAGGGUGUUAUCCUCUCUAGUUAACAGGUAGUUUGAAAAUCAGAGAUUUCAUAGCAAAUAAGCUCAGGAGAGGCAGGACAGACCAAGCCUUUGUCUGUAGCCCUGGGAUCCUUCCUGCAGAGACACAACCUGAUUAUUGACUGUGAAAGUCCGCUAGGAUUUAUCAAAGAAGAACUCUCUGGAGCUGUGCUCUCCAUGUCAAUAGUCAUUAGCUCUACUUGCUAUUAAAUACUUUAAAAAUGGUUCAGGAAAAUCCAUAAGUUCAAUAUUUGGGAAGUGUUAGCUAUUUAUUCCUAACCGGCAACCUCAUUUUGAAAAAAAAAAAGAAAUGCUUCCUUCGAGUUUUACUCUCUUUGGAGCUAGCCUAUUCAGAUGAUAAGUUUUGGGGCUGGUCAUCAACUUUCUCACUUCAAAGGAAAAAUGUAUCUGCAUUAGUUCAUAGGGAGUCCCUUUCUUUAUCUUUCCCUGUCAACUGCUUCUAAAGAAGUGUUGUUUCUUUCUCAGCUCACAUCGAUGGCCUUCCAGGGGAUUCCCUGUAACCAAGUGACAAAGAGGGAAAAUUCUGGUCUGGUCAGUUUAAACAUCUGAUGUAAGCUGAAAAUGUACACCUGCUAUACUUCUGCCCAAUCUAGGUAUGCUCCUACAAGACAGUGAUGAGAGAAAGCUGUCCCAGUGAGAAGAGUUGGGCAUUAUAUCCUUGGCCAUUCAUUUUGUUGAAUUGGGACUUAGACAAAGGUUGGAAGACAGGAAAAAAGAAGUCUGGAGUAUUAUAUGCAGAUAGAUUUAGGAGAAGGCGUCAAGUUUGUGGCCUACUCUGCAUCUCAUAUUCAUGCUUGCCAGAGACAGAAAACCUCUAUCACAGAAGAGAAUUGUGACUUUUAGGUAGACAGUGUAGCCCAUCCUGUUGAUGUCAGUCAGCUCAUUUCCUAGCCAGCAUGAUGUUUUUGCAAUGGGAAGAUGAAGAGAUUGUCCAUGGUGGCUGGGAUAUAAUUAUGCAUGGACCCAACAGUGUGGGUUCCCUCUCACCAAGGCAGAUGAGCUACUGCUAUGGCUGAAUGGAUAACCUGUCAAUGGCAGCAUCAAGUGCAGGUCCUCAAUAUGGUACCAAUUCAAGUUGAACAAUUUGGAGACAUGUUGAAAUUAGACCCUUUCAACCUUGGAGGCAGCAAUUUAAUCUCACCAGAACUGCUGUAAUUCUGGAUAAGGAUUUGCUUUCCCACACAUGGUAUAUCUGCCAAACUUACCACCCAGGCUCUCAGAAAAUCCUUAUUGGAAUGGGAUUCUACGCAUUUCCUCAGACCAACAAGACAAUUUCAUGGCAAAAAAGUUGAGGCAACAGGUGACUUGCCAUUUCCAUGGAAUCUAUUUGUCUCAUUACAUACCUUAUCACCACAAAGUGCUAAACUAAUAUGAUAAUGGAACUACUUCUUGAUUGUUCACUAAAAUGACAGCUCAGAGCCAGGACACCAUGCAGAUUUGGUAAGCUGUCCCUUAAGAUGUGCAAUAUCCACCAAACUAAUGGCCAAUAUAUUGUGCUGUGUUCCUAAUAUCUAGCACAUCAGUUCCAUAACCAACUAAUAAAAGUACCAUUGGCUCCUCUUUCCAUUACCCUUGUCAAUACAUUUUGGACGUUGUGUUUAGGUACUCACAAUUUAGACUCUGUUGGAUUAUAAGUUCAUUUCUACUGGGGGAGUGUUCUUCCAGAGGACACAAUAAAGAUAUCACUAAACUGGAAGCUAAAAUGACCACCUUAUCAAACUGGGCUGCUCAUGCCAAUGAUCCCACAAGAAGGAAAGAGGUUAUGAUGCUGGCAGGGUAUUGACACUGAUCAUGAUAAAGAGUUAGAGUGGGAGCUAUUUGAUGGGAAAGAGGAGGGCAUGUCUAUGUGUGUCUUGGUACUUCAGGGCCCAGAAAUAAAUCUUAGUAGACCACUGCAGCAAUAAAGGCCCACCACAGACAAGUCGACUAAUUCCUUGAAGACUUGAGUUGCCCCUUAGGCAAGAAACCACACUAGCUGAAGUGAAGAAGUUCUAAAAGGAGAUGAUGAAUACCAGUUACAACUUUGAAUGAUACAAUGAUGGAACCAUAGUUGUCAAACUAAUCCUCAUACAAUGUAGGUUCCAUUCCUGGCCUGGCUCAGUGGGUUAAGGAUCCAGCACUGCUGCAAGCUGCAGUGUAGUUCGCAGAUGCAGCACAGAACCAGUGUUGCCAUGGCUGUGGCAUAGUCCUGCUGCUGCAGCUCUAAUUCAACCCCUUGCAUAGGAACUUCCAUUUACUGCAGGUACAGCUGUAAAAAGAAAAAAAAAGCAGAGUGGUUAUGGAGUAGAAUUAAACCCAUGCAGAUGUUGCACUGGAAGAACUAUAUUAAAUACCUUGAGAUUAAUAUAAAAGCCCUUAUUAAAUCCCAUUUCUUCUCUACAUCUCUUCUCAUUCCAAUCACUAAUUCACCAAACAAUAUUUCACAGACCUGUCAAAUGUACAUUGCCCCUCUUGUGUACUGCUUGGGUGCUUUUCUGACAUAUGCUUUGGGACACUUGUGGAAGCCAGCUUAGAAUUCCUAUGUGCAACUCAGAAGUUCAGGGAGUUUAUGACUCAUAAAGAAACUCUCAAUGGGAGACAGGAUCAGAUGGGUAAUUACUUCCUCUUUACUCCCCUUGAAUCCUGAGAUCCUUAUCAUAAAUUUUGUCCAAGUGGGAUUGCACACUCAGUAUUCAGAGAAGCAGUCAAUUUGAAAACAUAUCUUUAUAUAGGCUUUCUCUCCUUUACCAUUACACUUUCCCUCGUCUUAGCCCACUCAAUCUUCUGUAACAAAAUAAUGGACAAGGUGGCUUAUAAACAAACAAACAAAAAAUUAUUUCUCAUAUAUUGUUGCUUCAGGGCACCAGUUCUGGAAACUGGGAAGUCCAAGAUCUAACCACCAGCAAAGUCGUGUCUGGAGAGGGCCUGCUUGCUGGUUCAAAGACAACCCAUCUUCUUGCUAGGAAUUUUGGAGGGACGCAAACAUUCAGUCUAUGGCACCCUUGUUCCUCACUUCUACUUCCUAGGAGUAUUUGCUCAAGAGACUUUGCAUUAAAAUCCCUUUGAGCUGUGUUUUAAAGAGAACCUACACUAUGAAUACGACAUAAAAAUGAACAAUUUUCUAUGAAUGUAUUCCUUUGUUGUAAUAUCUCCACAUACUCAUACAUCUGCCCUUUUAGGAAGCAUCAAAAUAGAUAAGAACUCUAGAGGUGAGAAAAUGAAAGAAGACAAGAAAAAUCCUACUGAAACACAUUUUAGAUAAGGACAUCAAAAGGAGAGCCCAUCAGGAAGAGAGAAGGUACAGUUCUUGAAUGAGAAGUAAUAUUUGAAGGUCCCCACAUCCCACAUCUUGAAAAGUUUGGGUACAAAGACUUUGAAAUUCUGGGUUCAUCCCAAAAUCAAACUUAAAAGUCAUGGUAAUUUGGAAACAUGUACUGAAGCGACAGAAAUAAGUCAUUUUAAAAAGUCAUUACUUGGAAGCAAGCACAAGAUGCUUUAUUUAUGUGCCUUCAAGUUGGAAACACAAAGUGUAUAUGAAUAGAGACAUUUGGAAAUGGAGGGUCUUCUGUAGUGGAUAAUUUCAAGAGGUCUGCAGUUACUUAGUUUUGAUGUAUUUAGAGUGUAUUUCAGCUUUAUUUAAACUUGUAAUUCAACAGUGACCCUGGGCGGAAGUAUGGUCAGGAGCAGGGGUGGAAAUUGUACAAUUUCUAGAAGCAGAGAUGGUUGCAUAUUGCAGUUUUUUAGAAUUAUGGCUUCUCAAACCCUACAGUUCACUAAAAAUAAAAACAAAACAACACAUAAACAAAAUCACAGUUAGCUUCUGUUCUUUAGGUCUUCUGAUUUAAUGGUGUAUUGCUUCUCUAGAUUUGACCACCUGACUGCAACUCAUGCCCAAAAGAGCCUGUGUCCUCUGCCUGGCUUCUUCUAUGCUCCCCUGAGGAUCUGGGCAAUUUAGGAGUCAAAUACUUGCCACCAAAGUAUAUACUUUUUUCUUGUUUGUCAUUUUCAUGUUAAUUUUGAAAAGCAUGAGGAAAGGCAUUCCACGUGUUUCAUAGAAUGCCUAAUAGGUAGUAUUACUUUAUAAAUAUGGAAAGAAUGUAACAGUUUAUAAGAUAAAUUAUUUUUAGAUGUUA
rnacentral:lncRNA from 1 species